AGCAGCCGCGGUAAUUCCAGCUCCAAUAGCGUAUGUUAAAGUUGUUGCAGUUAAAAAGCUCGUAGUUGAAUUUCGGAAUCAGUACGCUGGUCGUGCCUUCGGUAUGUACUGGUGUCACUGGUUUCUCCCUUCUGAAGAACCAUCAUGCCAUUCACUUGGUGUGGUGGGAAAUCAGGACUGUUACUUUGAAAAAAUUAGAGUGUUUAAAGCAGGCUCGCGCUUGAAUACAUUAGCAUGGAAUAAUGAAAUAGGACGUUAAUCCUAUUUUGUUGGUCUCUAGGAUCGACGUAAUGAUUAAUAGGGAUAGUUGGGGGCAUUAGUAUUCAAUUGUCAGAGGUGAAAUUCUCGGAUUUAUUGAAGACUAACUACUGCGAAAGCAUUUGCCAAGGAUGUUUUCAUUAAUCAAGAACGAAAGUUAGGGGAUCGAAGACGAUCAGAUACCGUCGUAGUCUUAACCAUAAACUAUGCCGACUAGGGAUCGGAUGAUGUUAAUUUUUAAUGACUCAUUC
rnacentral:rRNA from 1 species